GAUCCUGGCUCAGAUUGAACGCUGGCGGCAGGCUUAACACAUGCAAGUCGAACGGUAACAUAAAGAAGCCUGCUUCUUUGAUGACGAGUGGCGGACGGGUGAGUAAUGCUUGGGAAUCUAGCUUAUGGAGGGGGGAUAACUACGGGAAACUGUAGCUAAUACCGCGUAGAAUCGAGAGAUGAAAGUGUGGGACCUUCGGGGCCACAUGCCAUAGGAUGAGCCCAAGUGGGAUUAGGUAGUUGG
rnacentral:rRNA from 1 species